ACUUUGAUCCCCGCAGGUUAUUUGAUUCCGAUCUCCCAGCAAUCUAUCGUGAACUUCAGAGAUCCACAAUACUCCACUGGAGAAAGCUCCAAAGCCUCCACACCAACAUACAACGUCUAUCACACCCCAGCUGCAGGUAUGCCAAUACCCAAGGUUAUACCAAAAAUCUGUAUAUAUGGAUGGGGGGGAGUUAUAUUUAGUUAGUUAUAUUUCUUUGAUCAAAUAUUGAUUUUAGGUAGAGUAAAACUUAUUUGUGAGAUUUGAUUUGUGAGUAAAUUGUGUUUUAGUUUUAUGGAGCAUUUUCAACUGAAAACUGAAAAGUUUUACUGCAUUGUGGCCAUUCAUUACAUGUUGACUGCAUUUGGGAGCUUAAAAAUGUAAACAUUUGAAAAUGGGUUUCUUAGUGCAAGUUUUAGAACAUUAUUGUGUCUGUGUAAAUUACAAAAAUGCAAAUUUGUGAAAUAUGGCAAUUCAUGAGCACUAAUCACAUGUUAAUAGUGAAAAACAGUUAAACAUGCAUGUAACAAACUGAACAAUCACUGAUGAAUCUGUUCUUUCCAGGUUCCAGACAUCUACUUCCUCAAGAAGUCACCCCCACCCGGCUCCCUCUCCACCGGAUACCGUCCGUGUCUCCCUUCCCUUCUCAAGGGCAUCGCAUCCACAGCCCCAGUCCUGCCAUUCUCAACUUCACCCUGCAGAACCUGGGCCUUAUCCCCGGCACCAGCACACCAAACUCCACUCCUGAGCAGGCCAGCGCGCUUCCGUCUCCCCACCCGGGGCUCCCUCCACAGAGCAUGAUCUUUGUGAAGCCCAUCUCACCUGCCCGAGCUCUGCAGCCGGCCUCCAUACACGGGCAGCCCGUCACCCUCAUCAGCAUACCACAGCCUUUAGUAACCACACCUAAAGGUGCCUGUCAACACCUCCAGCAGAGUUUCUUUCACACGCCCGUCUCCUUCCCUACUGUAACCAACACCGCGGCUCCCAGAAACAUCUACAUCCCUCAGAGAAAGCUUGAUGUGAGUCCAGAGGACACCUAAGACCUUCACACUGACAAUCAUCACACCUGCAGUCCUUACGCUGCCAAAAACCACUGUUCUGUUUGAGCCAUUGUGUGUGCUUGUUAUUUGUCUUUGAGUGUUUUUUUAUGUUUUCCUCUUUAUAUUGUUACUUUACUGUAGGGUCUGCAUUAACUUCACAGUAGUCUGUGGUGCUUGAUGCUUUUUACUGCUGAGGCUCUUGAGGAAAGCAGGACCUCAAACAUGGUGCUAUGCUAUUUACCAAGACAGUCGGGGUUUAUUUGAAAAACAAAGGUUUUUUUAAAAAUAUGCUGUAAAUUUAGGGUUAAAAAUGGAAGAAUGAGCAAAAAUUUUCAAAUGGUGUAUGAAACGUUAACAGGAAAUCUAAUUUCAGGGAUUUUAGGAAACAAAUUUGUAUGAUUUUUUUUAAAUUGUUGUGAGUGGCAUCGCCUUAAAGUGUUGAAGUACCACAGUAUAUUAAAUUGCCAUAACUUGCCAUUGUGUUAUGAUGUAUUAAUAUGGGAGAAUGUUAGAUUAAGGGUGUUAUUAAAUAUUGUAGAUGUAUUUUAUGUCAAUGAAAUCUAGUAAUAUUUCUAUCUGCACAUCAUUUAUUUGAACUGUCUAUGUAAUAAAGAUAAAUGAAUGUGCUCCA
ensembl:lncRNA